GUCCAUGUUGUAGAAAUGAUCCUCUUGUGUUUGGAUGCUGAUCAUCUUUGUCCAAGCUGGAUUUGUCUCAGUAACCCUUCUCCUCUUUUUCAUGUUUUCAGGUUCAUCAGCAGAAAUCCGUCUGACUCAGUCUGAUGGAUCUCAGUCUGUUGUUCCAGGACAAACUGUCUCCAUCACAUGUAAAGCCAGUUCUUAUGUUUCUGAUGAUGUGAACUGGUACCUUCAGAAGCCUGGAGAAGUUCCUAAGCUCCUUAUUCAUGAUGCUACUUACCGCCUGUCUGGAGUUUCUGAUCGUUUCAGUGGAAGUCAGUCUGGAAAUGACUUCACUCUGACCAUCAGUGGAGUUCAGGCUGAAGAUUCAGGAGUUUUUUACUGUCAGCAGGAUUACAGCUACCCGUUCACACAAUNCAGUGGCAAACACUAUCUGCACUGGUACCAACAGAGAGAUGGAGGAGUUCCUAAACUUCUCAUAUCCAGGGCUGAUGAACGACAAUCUGGGAUUCCAGGACGUUUCACAGGCAGCGGAUCAAACACUGACUUCACUCUGAGCAUCAGUGGAGUUCAAGCUGAAGAUGCUGCAGUUUAUUACUGUCAGAGUUAUCAUGAAAUCAACAGUCAGUAUGUGUUCACACAGUGAAAAAGCGUCGUACAAAAACCUCCUCAGUCAGACUGAACAGAAGCUGAACUGAGACUGAUUUAGUUCACUGAACACACACACACUCACUAAAG